rnacentral:snRNA from 1 species
UUCUAUUUAAAGAUUCUGUAAUAAAUUUUUAAAUCUGUUCUGAGCAGUUUGAUCUCUGAUAGGAAGGUCCUUGAUGUGAGGGCUGUAGCUUAGCUUGGUUAUUUGAAAGGAGGAGGGUUAGAGAAGAAGCUUGCUUUGUCUGCCCCAUGCAUGGACCUGGAAUUGCAGUGCUUCCAGGAACGGUGUAUCUCCU